AGAGUUUGAUCAUGGCUCAGAACGAACGCUGGCGGCAGGCCUAACACAUGCAAGUCGAACGCACCGCAAGGUGAGUGGCAGACGGGUGAGUAACACGUGGGAACGUGCCCAUCGGAUCGGAAUAACCCAGGGAAACUUGGGCUAAGACCGGAUACGCCCUUUUGGGGAAAGAUUCAUCGCCGAUGGAUCGGCCCGCGUCUGAUUAGCUGGUUGGUGGGGUAACGGCCCACCAAGGCGACGAUCAGUAGCUGGUCUGAGAGGAUGAUCAGCCACACUGGGACUGAGACACGGCCCAGACUCCUACGGGAGGCAGCAGUGGGGAAUAUUGGACAAUGGGCGCAAGCCUGAUCCAGCCAUGCCGCGUGAGUGAUGAAGGCCCUAGGGUUGUAAAGCUCUUUCGCACGCGACGAUAAUGACGGUAGCGUGAGAAGAAGCCCCGGCUAACUUCGUGCCAGCAGCGGCGGUAAUAC
rnacentral:rRNA from 1 species